UCAGGACGAACGCUGGCGGCGUGCUUAACACAUGCAAGUUGAACGGGACGGAUAUUGAAGCGACUUUCGGAGUGGUGGAUAUAUUGUUUAGUAGCGGACGGGUGAGUAAUGCAUGAGAACCUGCCCUUCAGAGGGGGACAACAGUUGGAAACGGCUGCUAAUACCCCAUAUGCCGAGAGGUGAAAGGAGCGAUCCGCUGAAGGAGAGGCUCAUGUCCUAUCAGCUAGUUGGUGAGGUAAGUGCUCACCAAGGCGAUGACGGGUAGCCGGCCUGAGAGGGCGACCGGCCACACUGGAACUGAGAUACGGUCCAGACUCCUACGGGAGGCAGCAGUGGGGAAUAUUGGGCAAUGGGCGGAAAGCCUGACCCAGCGACGCCGCGUGAGGGAAGAAGGCCUUUGGGUCGUAAACCUCUGUUGUAUGGGAAGAAGGAAGUGACGGUACCAUACGAGGAAGUCCCGGCUAACUACGUGCCAGCAGCCGC
rnacentral:rRNA from 1 species